AGUCGAGGGGCAGCAUGAUUGAAGCUUGCUUCAAUUGAUGGCGACCGGCGCACGGGUGAGUAACGCGUAUCCAACCUUCCGUACACUCAGGGAUAGCCUUUCGAAAGAAAGAUUAAUACCUGAUGGUAUGAUGAGAUUGCAUGAUAGCAUCAUUAAAGAUUUAUCGGUGUACGAUGGGGAUGCGUUCCAUUAGGUAGUAGGCGGGGUAACGGCCCACCUAGCCUACGAUGGAUAGGGGUUCUGAGAGGAAGGUCCCCCACAUUGGAACUGAGACACGGUCCAAACUCCUACGGGAGGCAGCAGUGAGGAAUAUUGGUCAAUGGACGAGAGUCUGAACCAGCCAAGUAGCGUGAAGGAUGAAGGUCUUACGGAUUGUAAACUUCUUUUAUAAGGGAAUAAAACCUCCCACGUGUGGGAGCUUGUAUGUACCUUAUGAAUAAGCAUCGGCUAACUCCGUGCCAGCAGCCGCGGUAAUACGGAGGAUGCGAGCGUUAUCCGGAUUUAUUGGGUUUAAAGGGAGCGCAGACGGGUCGUUAAGUCAGCUGUGAAAGUUUGGGGCUCAACCUUAAAAUUGCAGUUGAUACUGGCGUCCUUGAGUGCGGUUGAGGUGUGCGGAAUUCGUGGUGUAGCGGUGAAAUGCUUAGAUAUCACGAAGAACUCCGAUUGCGAAGGCAGCACACUAAGCCGUAACUGACGUUCAUGCUCGAAAGUGUGGGUAUCAAACAGGAUUAGAUACCCUGGUAGUCCACACGGUAAACGAUGGAUACUCGCUGUUGGCGAUAUACGGUCAGCGGCUUAGCGAAAGCGUUAAGUAUCCCACCUGGGGAGUACGCC
rnacentral:rRNA from 1 species